rnacentral:rRNA from 1 species
UGGGGAAUAUUGCACAAUGGGCGAAAGCCUGAUGCAGCAACGCCGCGUGCGGGAUGACGGCCUUCGGGUUGUAAACCGCUUUCAGCAGGGACGAAGGUUUUCUGACGGUACCUGCAGAAGAAGCACCGGCUAACUACGUGCCAGCAGCCGCGGUGAUAGCGUAGGGUGCGAGCGUUGUCCGGAAUUAUUGGGCGUAAAGAGCUUGUAGGCGGUCCGUUGCGUCGGAAGUGAAAACUCAGGGCUUAACCCUGAGCCUGCUUUCGAUAACGGGCGGACUUGAGGGAUGUAGGGAGAACGGAAUUCCUGGUGAGCGGUGAAUGCGCAGAUAUCAGGAGGAACACCAGUGGCAAGGGCGGUUCUCUGGAACAUUUCCUGAUGCUGAGAAGCGAAAG